UACGUAGGGGGCAAGCGUUGGUCCGGAUUUAUUGGGCGUAAAGAGCGUGUAGGCGGCCAUGUAGGUCCGUUGUGAAAACUCGAGGCUCAACCUCGAGACGCCGAUGGAAACCAUGUGGCUAGAGUCCGGAAGAGGAGAGUGGAAUUCCUGGUGUAGCGGUGAAAUGCGCAGAUAUCAGGAAGAACACCCGUGGCUAAGGCGGCUCUCUAGUAGCGGUACUGACGCUGAGACGCGAAAGCGUGGGGAGCGAACAGG
rnacentral:rRNA from 1 species